AAAUAUAAGAAAGUAACUUAUUGUUUGCAUGAACAUCGAUUGAACAAUAUGCUUCUUCUUGUGCUCUCAGUGAGAGAAAGAGGACGAUUGAACACUCUGAAGCUCUAUUCCCUUAAACUCGAUUUUGUUGCCAUUUUUUGGUUAUUCUUGUGCUCUCGGUGAGUGAAGAGGACUAUUGAACGAUCUGAAGUGGUUUACUUAGCUGGAUCUGCUAGCUAUUUUUGGUUUUCUGGUGUUCUCCCUUGAACGAGUGGUCAGUUGUGGUGGAAGAACGAUUAUUUCUUUGUCGUUGCUACAAUUGCUGGUCACUUUCUCUCUCUCUCACACAGAUUUCACACAAGCGUCGUCAUCCUAUACAGUGUUGUGAGCUUAACGAACCAAUGCAAUGCACUCACACACGCAUUGUACUACGGUCGCACACACACCACUCUCUCUCUCUAACACACAUGACACAUCGCUUGCUUAUAUUUACCAUUUACUUAUUUUAGAUCAAAUUUUGGUUAAACUAAACUUUUCUUGAUGAUUCUUAUAGUUUAAUUAAAAUUGUCAAUAAAUUCUUCUUUUC